AAAAGGAAUAGACUGCUCUAAGACUUGCAGUUGAAUGAGGAACUUUGUGCAUUAAAGAAAAUUGUGGAAAGCCAUUUUGUGGGCUGGGGGCGGAGGGUGGAAAGACUUGAUGUGCAUUGUCAGCUAAAUUAAUGAACUAUCAUCUAUCCAGUGAGUUUACCAAAGAGCCUACAGAAAUGUGAACAAAUGGGAUAUCACCAGAGCCACAGAUGCUCAGGUGCUGUUUUGCUUUCCUGGGUUUUUCCACACAAACUUAGGAAACAUUGCCUUUGGAAAAUUACAAGGUCAGCUCGUGCCAGAAGCUAUUGCUGGAGAAACAGCCCAGUGACACCAUUAACCAGGCCACAGUUAAUUAGUAGCAAACCCUGAAGAUGUUUCUUACAUUAUGACACAGAGAGAUAGUAGAGAAAGCAAGAAAAAGAAAAAUCUGGAUAGGGGACUUCAAAACGGAAUGUUUCUUAAAAACAUUAAU